UGCAAUUUUAGAUUAACAAUUAACAGAAUCAAAUACACGAAAUGAAGCAGGUGAUAACACUGGAAGGUGUAGCAUCGUUAAGAAGGAUGAAAUUGAGUGGGCUGUAGUAGAACCACUGCAUCUUAGUUGAGGAAGGUACACAGACAAUGGAAGAUAUAUUAGUCUCUUCUUUGGUACCAACCUAACUGAUGUAGUUAUUAAAGGGGAUAAUGACACCAAUAAUGGGCAGGGUGAAUCCUGGUGAAAGAAUUUCCACAAGGGAGAAUUACAGUAAACUAGAGUCUAGACCUUAUUCAAUUAUAACACUUGUUAACUAACCAUUAUGGAAUGUUCAUC